rnacentral:rRNA from 1 species
GAUGAACGCUGGCGGCGUGCCUAAUACAUGCAAGUCGAGCGAACAGACGAGGAGCUUGCUCCUCUGACGUUAGCGGCGGACGGGUGAGUAACACGUGGAUAACCUACCUAUAAGACUGGGAUAACUUCGGGACACCGGAGCUAAUACCGGAUAAUAUCUUGAACCGCAUGGUUCAAUAGUGAAAGACGGUUUUGCUGUCACUUAUAGAUGGAUCCGCGCCGCAUUAGCUAGUUGGUAAGGUAACGGCUUACCAAGGCGACGAUGCGUAGCCGACCUGAGAGGGUGAUCGGCCACACUGGAACUGAGACACGGUCCAGACUCCUACGGGAGGCAGCAGUAGGGAAUCUUCCGCAAUGGGCGAAAGCCUGACGGAGCAACGCCGCGUGUGUGAUGAAGGUCUUCGGAUCGUAAAGCUCUGUUAUUAGGGAAGAACAAAUGUGUAAGUAACUAUGCACGUCUUGACGGUACCUGAUCAGAAAGCAACGGCUAACUACGUG